UUUUUUUUUUGGUAAUUGUUUUUUUUUCUGGUGUCGGAGAAGAGAGGUUGGCUUGUUCUUAUAAAGGAGGAGAGAUCCGAAGCCGAGGAGGCCCAGACGAUGAAAGCUGACUAGGCACUGUAAAUGCCACGUCACGUGCGUGGUGGUAAAUCUUUUUUACGGAGACGUGUCAGUAACUGCUAAUAGGUAAAUUACGCCUCUGACCUCCACUGCCGUCGAAUAUCCGUAACUAUCCGGAAAUGGAUAUUAUGUUAUUUUUUAUAGCGAAACAGACUCUUAACCAAUAGUUAAACAACACGUAGCUAAAGCAAAUCUUAUUUACUCCUCGUUCGGGACCGUCGGGGUAUAUUGUACUAUCUUAUGAGAAGUAAAAUACAAAUGUGGUAUAUUACUAAUAUUUAAUUUUCGAUGAAAAAAUAAUCUAGUUUAAUUUUUAA